UAACAGAGGUCCCAAGCGUUGUUCGGAUUCAUUGGGCGUAAGGGUGUGUAGGUGGCGCCGUAAGUCGGGUGUGAAAUUCUCGGGGCUUAACUCCGAAACUGCAUUCGAUACUGCGGUGCUUGAGGACUGGAGAGGAGACUGGAAUUCAUGGUGUAGCAGUGAAAUGCGUAGAGAUCAUGAGGAAGACCAGUGGCGAAGGCGGGUCUCUGGACAGUUCUGCGCUGAGGCACGAAGGCCAGGGGAGCAAACAGG
rnacentral:rRNA from 1 species